UUCCGGUUGAUCCUGCCGGAGAUCACUGCUAUUGGGAUUCGACUAAGCCAUGCGAGUCGAGAGGGUUCGGCCCUCGGCUGACGGCUCAGUAACACGUGGAUAAUCUGCCCUUAGGUUGAGGAUAAUCUCGGGAAACUGAGGAUAAUACUCCAUAGAUCUAGAAUGCUGGAAUGCAUCUAGAUUUAAAGCUCCGGCGCCUAAGGAUGAGUCUGCGGACUAUCAGGUUGUAGUCAGGGUAAAGACCUGACUAGCCUACGACGGAUACGGGUUGUGAGAGCAAUAACCCGGAGACGAUAUCUGAGACACGAUAUCGGGCCCUACGGGGCGCAGCAGGCGCGAAAACUUCACACUGUGCGAAAGCACGAUGAGGGAAUCCCAAGUGUUUGCUCGUAAGAGUAAACUGUUUCUUUGUUUAAAAAGCAGAGAGAGUAAGGGCUGGGUAAGACGGGUGCCAGCCGCCGCGGUAAUACCUGCAGCUCAAGUGGUGAUCAUUAUUAUUGGGCCUAAAACGUCCGUAGCCGGUUUAGUAAAUGCCUGGGUAAAUCGUGUAGCUUAACUAUACGAAUUCCGGGUAGACUGUAAGGCUUGAGACCGGGAGAGGCUAGAGGUACUCCUGGGGUAGAGGUGAAAUUCUGUAAUCCUGGGGGGACCACCAGUGGCGAAGGCGUCUAGCUAGAACGGGUCUGACGGUGAGGGACGAAGCCUUGGGGCGCAAACCGGAUUAGAUACCCGGGUAGUCCAAGGUGUAAACGCUGCUUGCUUGAUGUUAGUCGGGCUCCGAGCCCGAUUAGUGUCGGAGAGAAGUUGUUAAGCAAGCUGCCUGGGAAGUACGAUCGCAAGAUUGAAACUUAAAGGAAUUGGCGGGGGAGCAC
rnacentral:rRNA from 1 species